GGAUGUGAGGGCGAUCUGGCUGCGACAUCUGUCACCCCAUUGAUCACCAGGGUUGAUUCGGCUGAUCUGGCUGGCUAGGCGGGUGUCCCCUUCGUCCCUCACCGCUCCAUGUGCGUCCCUCCCGAAGCUGCGUGCUCGGUGGAAGAGGACGACCAUCCCAGAUAGAAGGAGUGUACCGUUCUUCGGUCAAGGGUAUACGAUAGCUGCGCUCCCCUGCUAGAACCUCCAAACAAGCUCAAGAUGGUGCCUUCCUUCCUCAUGUACAAAAAAACCAACCUGAUUGGCAGUUGACUCU